rnacentral:rRNA from 1 species
UACGAAGGGUGCAAGCGUUGUUCGGAUUUAUUGGGCGUAAAGCGUACGUAGGCGGACGGUUAAGUCAGGUGUGAAAUCUCGGGGCUUAACCCCGAAAUUGCGCCUGAAACUGGCCAUCUAGAAUACUGAAGAGGGAGGGGGAAUUUCGCAUGUAGGGGUAAAAUCCGUAGAUACGCGAAGGAACACCAGAGGCGAAGGCGCCUUCCUGGUCGGUUAUUGACGCUGAUGUACGAAAGCGUGGGGAGCAAACAGG